GACGAACGCUGGCGGCGUGCUUAACACAUGCAAGUCGAACGAUGAAGCCGGAGCUUGCUCUGGUGAAUUAGAGGCGAACGGGUGAGUAACACGUGAGUAACCUGCCCUUGCCUCUGGGAUAACUGCGGGGAACUGUAGCUAAUACCGGAUACGACCCUCGAAGGCAUCUCCUGGGGGUGGAACGAAUUCCGGUCAAGGAUGGACUCGCGGCCCAUCAGCUAGUUGGUGAGGUAAAGGCUCACCAAGGCGACGACGGGUAGCCGGCCGGAGAGGGUGACCGGCCACACUGGGACUGAGACACGGCCCAGACUCCUACGGGAGGCAGCAGUGGGGAAUAUUGCACAAUGGGCGCAAGCCUGAUGCAGCAACGCCGCGUGAGGGAUGACGGCCUUCGGGUUGUAACCUCUUUUAGCAGGGAAGAAGCGAAUGUGACGGUACCUGCAGAAAAAGCACCGGCUAACUACGUGCCAGCAGCCGCGGUAA
rnacentral:rRNA from 1 species